UGCUUUCAGGGAAAAAAAAAAAAAACUGUGGAUGACCUUACUUGUCAUGGAGAAUGUCAAAAGCAGACACAAGACAAAGUAACAUGGACUUGCCAGCUGCUCAAUACGUUGAGGACUCCAAUGACAAGAUGCUGUUAUUUCAAGGGGGGAAAAAUACAGCAAACAAAAAAUAGCCACUUCAAAAAUUCAGUUAGUCGCAAAUCUGAAUCAAGUCAGCAGACCAUCAGACAUGGAGAUGAGAGAAAUGCAGCCAAUUUGAACGUUGAGGGUGUGAAAACUUCAGGAAGUUGCUAGAAGAUCUGAGAUAGAUAUCUACAGAAAGGAAACAAGCAUAACUCACUGCUACCAAGAGGUGAAGGAAGUGAAUCUAUCCUUUGCUGUCAAAGGCUACAAGCAGUUUCAGAAGAAUAAAGCAAGAUACAUAACCAAAGCUUCUGAGAGGUUACAGAAAUAUUCACUUGUUCCAAUCAAGACUAAGGAAACCACCUAUACCUACUAGAUUUUGAACAGUACAGCUGAUUGUAUGGAGAGAAAGAGAAACCAAUCCAGCAAUUCAUCAUGCAGAAGCAGGUCAUAUCUCGAGAUGCAAGGAUGACACAUGGCUGUAGGUUACAGGAAGGAAUUGCUGAUCCAUUCUUUUAAGGAGGUAAGAAAUACAAUACACCAUUCCCAUAAUAGUCAAUGGUUCUGUCAUACUUUCAGGUGGAAGGAAGGUAAUUGAUGAAAUCUUCAUCUCUCUAAAGAGCAUGAGAAGUUGCUGUACUGAAUAAAGCAAUACAAAUGGGAGCUACCUGUUCAGAUGAAAGGAAAGUAGUUGGUAAUUCUAACCAAUGAUGAUGAUCUCUGCUCCUUUUUCCUUCCCAGAGAAGGCCAUUGCUUGUUCCUACAAGGAUGUAACAGGGAAGUUAUUUCAAAGAACAAGUGCAACUAACCAGUGUGAAGAGGAGCAUUGAGCCUGCUCUUACAUUUGCAGAGAGGAGUUGUCCAGCUGAUUCUAUUUGUGCAUAACUGAUCAAUUGCUUAUUUUUCAGAUGUCAAGAAAUGAGUGGAACUGAUCAUUUCUAUCAAGA